AGUGAACGCUGGCGGCAGGCCUAACACAUGCAAGUCGAGCGGACCCUCCGGGAUUAGUGGCCGAUGGGGGUGUAACACGUCGGAACGUGCCCUCUGGUUUGACCCACCUAAAGGAAACGUGAACUAAUAGGGGAUGUGCGCUUCUGGGGAAAGAUUUAUCGCCAUUGUUGGGGCCCGCGUCUAAUUAGCUAGUGUGUGAGGUAACAGACCACCAAGGCGCCGAUCAGUAGAUUGUCUGAGAGACUGAUCAGCCACACUGGGAUUGAGACGCGGCCCAGACUCCUACGGGAGGCAGCAGUGGGGGAUCGUGCGCAGCGGGCGAAAGCCUGACGCACCCAUGCCGCGUGAAUGAUGAAGGUCUUGAGGUUGAAAAAUUCUUUCAGCGGGGCCCAUAAUGACGGUACCCACAGAAAAAGCUCCGGCUAACUUCGUG
rnacentral:rRNA from 1 species